UAAUUUUUUUUUAAGUUUAAGAAAGUGUUUUUUGCAUAGUUAAUUAAUUUUAGGGUCUGGAAGACUCACAAAAGACUUAAAAAGAAGUAUUCAGACACAUUCCGCCUAAAUUUUAGUAGAAUUUAUGGUUCCCGCCUAAAUUUUGGAAUAAUUUAGGUUCCCCGCCUAAAUCAAAGUCUUCCAGGAGUCUUCCAUAAGUCUUCCAGAGAAAGCUUUCUCAUGGAUUAGAUCUUAAAAAUAAUUUAAAUUUCUUAUAAAAAAUAUUUUCAUGGUUACAAUUUGAAAUCAUGUAAUAGUAAACAUUUUUCAAUGAUGUAAAUUUAGUUAAUCUGAAAUUGAAUUAUUUUCAACAUAGAUGAGUGAAUGUCGAAUGGUUCAUGAGUCUUAGGUUUAGGGUUUAGUAACAUGUGUUAUAGUAUUGUUGGUAUAUUUAUGGUUAGAUUUGAAAUCUUAUCUUCAUUUUUUUUCUUUUUUCAAAUUGACCUAUAUAUGUUUAGUAACUAUCUAAUAAUUUGAUUUAAACACUUUCUAAGUUUUCUUAAGUUUAAAAAGGUUUUUUGCAUUGUUAUUUGAUUUUAGGGUCUUGAAGACUCACAAAAAUCUUAAAA
rnacentral:lncRNA from 1 species